UACGGAGGAUCCAAGCGUUAUCCGGAUUUAUUGGGUUUAAAGGGUGCGUAGGUGGUCUAUUAAGUCAGGGGUGAAAGACGGCAGCUUAACUGUCGCAGUGCCUUUGAUACUGAUGGACUUGAAUAAACUAGAGGUAGGCGGAAUGUGACAAGUAGCGGUGAAAUGCAUAGAUAUGUCACAGAACACCAAUUGCGAAGGCAGCUUACUAUGGUUUGAUUGACACUGAGGCACGAAAGCGUGGGGAUCAAACAGG
rnacentral:rRNA from 1 species